rnacentral:misc_RNA from 1 species
GAUGAAGAACGCAGCGAAAUGCGAUAAGUAAUGUGAAUUGCAGAAUUCAGUGAAUCAUCGAAUCUUUGAACGCACAUUGCGCCCCCUGGUAUUCCGGGGGGCAUGCCUGUCCGAGCGUCAUUUCAACCCUCAAGCUCAGCUUGGUGUUGGGCCCCGCCGCCCCGGCGGGCCCUAAAGUCAGUGGCGGUGCCGUCCGGCUCCGAGCGUAGUAAUUCUUCUCGCUCUGGAGGUCCGGUCGUGUGCUCGCCAGCAACCCCCAAUUUUUUUCAGGUUGACCUCGGAUCAGGUAGGGAUACCCGCUGAACUUAAGCAUAUCAAUAAGCGGAGGA